CCUACGGGAGGCAGCAGUGGGGAAUAUUGCACAAUGGAGGAAACCCUGAUGCAGCAACGCCGCGUGAGUGAGGAAGUAUUUCGGUAUGUAAAGCUCUAUCAGCCGGGAAUAGAGAAGAAGGUACCUGAAAAAGAAGCCCCGGCGAACUACGUGCCAGAAGCCGCGGUCAUAAGUAGGGGGCAAGCGUUAUCCGUAUUUACUGGGUGUAAAGGGAUCGGAGACGGAAAGGCAAGUCAGAGGUGAAAACCCAAGGCUCAACCAGGGGACUGCAUUUGAAACUGUCAAACUAGAGUACGGGAGAGGUAAGAGGAACUCCUAGUGUAGCGGUGAAAUGCGUAGAUAUUAGGAGGAACACCAGUGGCGAAGGCAGCUUACUGGACCGAAACUGACGUUGAGGCUCGAAAGCGUGGGGAGCAAACAGGAUUAGAUACCCUGGUAGUC
rnacentral:rRNA from 1 species